rnacentral:lncRNA from 1 species
UGUAUCUGUUUGUAUUUUUCUUUGAUGAAUGAUUGGUCAUGAGGCCUCUUGCCACACUCCAGAAAUACGUGUGCGGCUGCUUUUAAGAACUAUGUGUCUGGUCACUUAUUUCUCUAAAAUUAUCUCAUUGCCUGGCAAUCAGUCUUCUCUUGUAUACUUGUCCUAGCACAUUAUGUACAUGGGAAAUGUAAACAAAUGUGAAGGAGGACCAGAAAAAUUAGUUAAUAUUUAAAAAACUGUAUUGUGCAUUUUGGCUUCACAUGUUUAACUUUUUUUAAGAAAAAAGUUGCAUGAAUGGAAAAAAAAUCUGUAUACAGUAUCUGUAAAAACUGUCUUAUCUGUUUCAAUUCCUUGCUCAUAUCCCAUAUAAUCUAGAACUAAAUAUGGUGCGUGGCCAUAUUUAAACACCUGAGAGUCAAGCAGUUCAGACUUUGAUUUGAAGCACCUCAUCCUUCUUUCAAUGCGAACACUAUCAUAUGGCAUUCUUACUGAGGAUUUUGUCUAACCAUAUGUUGCCAUGAAUUAACUCUGCCGCCUUUCUUAAGGAUCAAAACCAGUUUGAUUUGGGAAUCUUCCCCUUUCCAAAUGAAAUAGAGAUGCAGUACUUACUUUCCUUGGUGUUUGUAGAUAUUGCCUUGUGUAUUCCACUUAAAACCGUAAUCUAGUUUGUAAAAGAGAUGGUGACGCAUGUAAAUAAAGCAUCAGUGACACUCUAAAAAAAAAAAAAAAAAAAAAAGAAGAAGUAUGGCAUUGUUUUACACUUUUGCCAAUCUCUUUAAUGUAUGACAUAAUAGAAGGUAG